AAACAGAAAAUAGUGUAUGGGGUUGCAUGGGUAAGAUUGCUGGAUAUUCUUUGUACGGUUCAAUUUCAAGUGGUUCAUUUAAAACAUAUAGCAGGAAGAGUUCUCAAGCACAACCUUGUUCAGUAGAUUCCAAGCAGCCACCACAUCCUGUUGAACUUUAGAUUUAUCUGAUUUCUGCAUCCAUAUCAUGAAUAAUCAAGAAAAUGGAUUCAACCUUGAAAGGGUUGGCCAGAAGCGGGAGCGUGACGAUGACGAAAUGGACAGCGAGUGUCUGCCGAUCUCCAAACGUAUCAAUAGUCUCUCACUCAACACGCAAUAUGGACAGGGGGUAAGCUCCAACGGUUGGUCGGCGGCCGGACCGUCGAACGCUCUCCCCACCCCCUCCCCUUCCACCGACCCGCCUCUACACAUGCCAGUGUUGGUGAAUGGCUCCGCUCCCGCCCCUGUUGUUUCUACCCCGGCGCCGGCGCCACUGCCUGCGGAGCCGGACCUGAGUCCAGAGGAGUGUCCAGAGUACUUCUCCAUAAACUGUUAUCUGUAUCAGCUACAUAUGGAAAGAUUGAGGCGAAGGCAAGCGGGUGUUCAGUUCUAAAUUUUGAUCGUCGCUCAUCCGUUGCUAUCUGUUGUAACUUGCAUAUUGGGAGAUUGUGAAGACGGCAGGCUGGUGGCCAGUUUUGAACGCUAUCUUAGUGUUCCAGCUGAAGAGACAACGGACCGUCGGCGUCCACGCAGAGCAGAUGGUGUGCAUCUGAUUGUAAAGACAGCAGAAUGUUUUCUCCUGGAUUUCUCCUGGCAGUUUCUGUCUUCUCCUGGCAUCUCCUGUCGUCUCCUUGCUCUUAUGAACAGAUUGUUGAAUUGAGAAAAGGCUGUACUGGUACGUGGAUAUUCUAGGAAGUAGGGACCAGUCGCCGUUCGCUCAGGUAAUGUCACCGGCUUACUAAGCCGUGUGAACGUGAAAAGUGUGUGGUUGGUUGUUCAUACGGUUUGUAUUGUCCUACGCGUGUGGGUCGUUUUACACAAGCCAUGUGUAAUACUGUUAGUGAACAAUAACCUGCCAUUUGUAAGUGUGAUUGCAGUUGAGUUCGAUAAGUGACGUGUUGAUAUUGUGUGUGCUAACCGAUUAUGAAUACUGCUCUUGCUAGUCCUGAGGUGUCGCUUUUUGCAGCGAGCUGUGCUCCUUGCGUGGUCGAUUUUCUGGAUGCGCUAAUUUUAGCGCACCUGCUGUCUGUGAUGGCUUGUUUGCAAGACGAGCUGUUAUUACUUGUUCUGAUGUCAUAUUGAGUCGCUUAGUCAAAUUCGCUGUUAGUGCUGUUAAUUCAAGACGCAGAUGUCCGUUUUCUGGAAACUCAAAGACAGACAAUAACUGAACCUACGCAUAGGUUGUGGAUUUUUGGAAUGAUCGUGCUUGCAGUCUCAACACUGAGCGUAAUGGAAACCAUAUGUAAGUGCUGUGAUCUGUAUAGACUUGUGUCGGCUCCCCUGUCUGAGCAGUUAGUUGAGCGGAGUGUCACUGGAGGUGCUGAGAGCAUUGUCAUUCGAGAUGCUUACGUUCUCUUGUUUUUCUACUAUCAGUCAGCAUGAAAGCCUAGAGCAUGCCGCGUCACAUCACAUUUGGCAUUAAUUUUGACUGCCAUGCCUGUCAGUAAAUUUAGUGCGUUGUGCAUGCACAAUGUUGCUGUGCAUUCACCAAAUGAACGGCAUCUUUGGAUAAUACCGAACUCCGGACGCUGAAUCUCGCUCUUUGUCCUUCUUUAUGUGCCUGGCCACAUCGGCAUGAUUUAUUGAAAUUAACGUGAAAUGUCGGGAACUCCACGCUGCAGGCAAAAUAUGUCUUCAACUUGACCGCUGUUCACCCAAAGUGUCGUCUGAAGUUAUGUUUAGUGACUGCUCGGACUGUGGCUAGUCAUUGUCGGCAUUCAAGGCCAUAACCAAGCCAAGCUCUCAGCCUUUAUCCCAAACUGAUCUCACCGUUUCUAACUGCGUUGAUCUUGCCUUGCUAUGGUGUGUGAUGCAAAAGUCGUCAAUAUAUUGAGGCGAGUGCAAUGA